AUGCUUUAAACUUAUGAGUAAGGGAAAAUAACAAUUCAGGGUGACGCCCGAAUCUUCAUUGCUAAUGUGAGAUGAAUUUUUGAGCAGGUAAAGGUUGCCCUUAAGGUGACCCACCUACUUUGUGGGAUGCCUGAGAGUGGCGAUCUGCCUG
rnacentral:snRNA from 1 species